rnacentral:rRNA from 1 species
GGUUAAGUCCCGCAACGAGCGCAACCCCUGCCGUUAGUUGCCAGCAUUUAGUUGGGGACUCUAACGGGACUGUCGGUAACAAGCCGAAGGAAGGUGGGGAUGACGUCAAGUCAGCAUGCCCCUUAUGUUCAGGGCUUCACACGUGCUACAAUGGUCAGUACAAAGGGCUGCGACACUGCGAAGUGGAGCCAAUCCCUAAAGCUGGCCUCAGUUCGGAUUGAGGUUUGCAACUCAGCCUCAUGAAGGCGGAAUCG